rnacentral:rRNA from 1 species
UACGGAGGGUGCAAGCGUUAUCCGGAUUCACUGGGUUUAAAGGGUGCGUAGGUGGGCAGUUAAGUCAGUGGUGAAAUCUCCGGGCUCAACCCGGAAACUGCCAUUGAUACUAUCUGUCUUGAAUAUCGUGGAGGUAAGCGGAAUAUGUCAUGUAGCGGUGAAAUGCUUAGAUAUGACAUAGAACACCAAUUGCGAAGGCGCUUACUACCCGAAUAUUGACACUGAGGCACGAAAGCGUGGGGAUCAAACAGG